rnacentral:lncRNA from 1 species
AUUUUUAUAAAAUUCAGAUUAAUGUGGUAUUUCAAUUACAAUUAAAUUUGCAUAAUUUCCUCUACAUACUUUAGGUUAUCAAAAAUAGAAUAAAAAGGGAAAAUUAUGCAAAUAAAUAUGAUAGUGGUUAAUGCUAAAUUUUAUUUAUGUUUUAUAGUUAAACUAGAUGAGGAUGCUGAUAUCUUGCUCAACCAUAAUCACUCCACUGCUAGACACCCUCAAGAUCAUCUUCCAUCUUGUUCUGUCUUUGUCUUUUCAUCCAAUAUAUUCUUAUAGCUUUCAUCACCUCAUCCUCCCCAUCUCCUUAUCUUCCCUCACUAACCAUCCAGAGGUGCCCAUUCCAUUACAAUCUUUGACAAUUUAUUGUUGCUGUAUCUGGCUAGUUUAUCUUCAUUUGGAAUGUUUUAUAAACUGAAUUAUGUCCUUUAUAUCUGUUAACAGCAUAACAGAUUUAAAGGACAUAAUUGCAUCAUUCUUCUCUGUGUAACUCUUAAUCUGUGAAUUAUUUCCUCAGUUAGGUUCAAAGUUUCACUAUCAAAUAUAAGAUAGAUAAAAUACCUCUUAGUCAAAAAUUCCUCGUUUUAGACAAAUAAGAAUUUCACUUUCAAAUAGUGGCACGUUAUCUUAUGGGCAAAAAGGGCAAUUGCCUAGGGCCCCCAUCGACAGGGACCCCAAAGUUCCCAAAUCAAUAUUCUCU